GGGGGGGGGGGGGGGGGGGGGGGGGGGGGGGGGGGGGGGGGGGAGGGGGGGGGGUGGGGGGGGUGCUGGGGGGGAGCAGGGGGGGGGCGGACGUGGGUGACCGGCCCUUGGCGGGGGGAUGACGUCAGGGCGCUGGGGCUGGUCCCGGGGAGGAGCUCGUGAUUCAUGGUGGGGGUGGUGACGUUUAGGCGGGUCGGGAUGGACUCGCGGCUUAUCAGCUUGUUGGUGGGGUCGUGGCUUACCAAGGCUUUGCCGGGUAGCCGGCCUGAGAGGGUGACCGGCCACAUUGGGACUGCGAUACGGCCCAGAAUCCUACGGGAGGCAGCAGUGGGGAAUAUUGCACAAUGGGCGGAAGCCUGAUGCAGCAACGCCGCGUGCGGGAUGCCGGCCUUCGGGUUGUAAACCGCUUUCGCCUGUGACGAAGCGUGAGUGACGGUAAUGGGUAAAGAAGCACCGGCUAACUACGUG
rnacentral:rRNA from 1 species